rnacentral:rRNA from 1 species
AAAGAAACUAACAAGGAUUCCCUUAGUAACGGCGAGUGAAGUGGGAAUUGCACGAAUUUAAAAUCUGGCCAGUUUCUGGUCCGAAUUGUAAUCUAAAGGAGCGUUUUCCGCGUCCAGCUCGAGUAUAGGUCCCUUGGAAUAGGGCAUCAUAGAGGGUGAGAAUCCCGUCUGUGACACGAGUUUGGGGGUGAUAUGAUGCGCUUUCGACGAGUCGAGUUGUUUGGGAUUGCAGCUCAAAAUGGGUGGUAAAUUCCAUCUAAGGCUAAAUAAUGGCAAGAGACCGGUAGCGAACAAGUACCGUGAGGGAAAGAUGAAAAGAACUUUGAAAAGAGAGUUAAACAGUACGUGAAAUUGUUGAAAGGGAAACGAUUGAAGCCAGUCGUGCUGGCGGGAAAUCAGGCUCCGGGAUUACUGGGGGUGCACUUUCUCGCAAGGCAGGUUAGCAUCAAUUUCGUAAGUCGUAAAAAGUCCGUCGGAAUGUGAUUCCUUUCGGAGUGUUAUAGCCAGCGGUCAAUGCGACGCGCGGGAUUGAGGAUUGUAGCGGGUGCCUUUUAGGCUAAGUGCCUGGCCCUUGUUCGUGAUCGACUCGGCAACAGCGUGCUGGUGUCAGGAACGAUUCGUGGACAUGGGGUGUAGCGUCACGGUAAACUCGCUAAGGAUGCUGACGUAA